rnacentral:rRNA from 1 species
GAUUUCCGAUUGAUCCCGUCGGACCCCACUGCUAUCGAGGUGGGACUAAGCCAGGCCAGUCGAACGACUCGGACUAUGGCGAGAAGUGGCAAACUGCUCAGUAACACGUAGCUAACCUACCCUCGGGACGGAGACAACCCCGGGAAACUGGGGUUAAUACCCGAUAGGCGUGGAUUCCUGGAAUGGUGUCACGCCGAAACGUUAACACACCAUGUUUGUGUACACGCCCGAGGAUGGGGCUGCGGCCGAUCAGGCAGUUGGUGAGGUAACGGCUCAC